UGAAGUUGAAUAAAACAAUGCAUAUUAUUUAUUAUUUCUAUAAUAUCUUAGUAUAGUAUAUAAUUGUUUAUUUGAUUGGUUUUCUUUAAUGAAAUCUCAUGCGCGACAUGUCAAGUAACUUCAUAUGGCAUGUAUUGUCAUAUUGCAUUUUAUACUUUUUAAUGUAUUAAAUAAUAUAUAAUUUUGAAAUGAAGAAUAUAGUUAUAACUUAUAUGUAAUUACGUCUUUGUUAAAUACGCGAUGAUUUAAUUUAAACUGUAUAUCUAAUUGUCAAAGCAAGAUAAAAUGUGAUUGAAUUUUUAUAUUUUAUCCAUUUACAUAAUCUAACAAAAAAAAAGUUUAUCAAUCUCAUGGUUAUAAUUUUAUCAUUAUAUCACUUACAUGAUGUUUCUUCAGUUAAAUUAGACUGCAAUCUAUAUAACUAUUUUCUUAGACAAAUUAUUUUCGCUUAUUAUCAUGUUCAUAGUUGAUAUGAUUGUGAAGUUUUUAGUUUACAUGCAAAAAUUUGGCAUGGAGCUUUAGAGAACUUUGGGAGGUUAAAGGAGAAAAAAAGUUUGGUUUGAUGACAUAAACUUUUAACUUUUUUAUUAAAUAAAAAACUUUUUUUUGAGCUUUUGGCUUUUGAUUUUUAUCUAAUUUUACAUCUUUAAAAACUAUCAAUUAUUUUUGUCAAACACUUCAUUAAAAAAAUUGCAUCUUCUAACUUGGAGCUACUAACUUGCACAUUCUAACUUCCACCUCCAGCUACUAACUUGCACCUUCUAACUUCCACCUCCAGCUACUAACUUGCACCUUCUAACUUCCAGCUACUAACUAACAACUAAACACAACAAAUAAAUAACUUACAAGUUACAACUAUUACAUAUCUAACAACUAACAACUAGUUUUGUCAAAACACUACAUAAGUAUCAUAACAAAAUAUUUUGUUUUGUUUUUUUUUUUUUUUUUGAAAGAGAAACAAAAUAUUUUGUUGGUUAACUUUAGAAAAUAAAAAUCGUCAAAUUAAAUAAUAGAAUGUUAUUUUCUAUAUUAACAAUAAGUGAACAUUGAAU
rnacentral:lncRNA from 1 species